GGAGACGUUGAGUUUCCUGUUAGAUCACAAUAAAAAACGUGUUGAAAAAUUAUCAAACAAAUCAGACAGUUAAAUCAAACACAAACAUAAAAUUCAGAUUAAUCAAGUCCUGAAAAAUCAACAAAAACCUAAAAUCCAUGUUUAAACCCAGAGAAACACAGCAAGCAAGCAAAAUUGAGAAACAGCAUAACUUCAUUUAUAACUCAGAUUCACAUGUUCAGACAAUUAACCAUAAUAAUUUGAACACGCGGUUCAGUCUCUACAAGUUUCUUCAUCACUCCAUAAACAAAUGAAAGGUAAAAAACGAUAAGAGAAUUAAGAGAUGGAGGUUUCGACUCCUCAUUCUUCUGCUUUCUCGGGAAUCAAACAGAAACUGACCGACCAGAGAUAUUGAGAGUGAGAUCAUGAAGAGGAAAGAGAGAUCGAUAGAAAAACCUUAAUGAUUCUUCGGGGAAGAU
rnacentral:misc_RNA from 1 species